UCACAGUGGACUUACUUGUUCACAUCCUCAAGCAUCUGCAUUGGUCGAGCCACCCGAACUUCGGCUUGGUAUGCCGACAAUGGCAAUCUGCACGCUCCUGGUCGCCCUUCUACCUGGCGUGGCUCACCCCUCUCCUCCACAACGCCACCGACGUAGGAACCACCAACUUCCGCUACUACAAUCCUUAUUAUCAGAAACACUUUGAGACUGCCAACACGCUCGACAUGCCCGGUGCCGGCGCCAAAAUCUUCUGCUUCACCGGGAACCGUUUGACGCUAUGCCUGAAACACUCAAUCCUCCAGGCGGAACUCCUCAACGGCGAAGACGUCUGCGAGCAGCUGCCGCCGAUUUAUAAACUCUAUAAAGUUAAAACCCACUAAGUGUAGUUAAUUUUAGGCAAGCUGUCCACCUCAGCGUGCCAUCUUCUAGUUUCCCACGUCAGCUGGGCGGUUCCAAUUUCCGCUAAAUCUGUCGAGAAGUGCCCCCGCCGCCGCUGCGCGCUGCAACGCCGCGGCCGAGCUCCGUCCCCGCCCACGGGCUUCGCCCCGACCGCCGCGCGAUGAGCUGGUAUCCCUGCCGCCCACGGGCUCAGCCCUGGCCGCCGCCGAGCGCCGUCCCCGCCGCCCACGGGCUCAUCUCCUGCAACCACGAAGGUACAUAAUCCACAUGUGCUUCACUGCAUUAUCUUCGCAUUCUUCAGGGCGAUUCGGCUGCCACAGGGGAGGUUGAGGAGGGGAGACGGCGCCACCGCGGGGAAGAUGAAUGAGAAUGAGGGAAGGGGCACCGCUGAUGGGAAAAAUGGAUGACAUGGGAGGGCGCGGCUGCAGGGGAGAUUGAGAAGGGGAUGGGCGCGGCCAAUGGGGAAAAAUGGAGGAGGGGAGGGGCGCCACCGAUGUGGGAGACGAGUUUGGGGCGCUGCCGCACGGGGAGCUCGGGGUGGCGCAGUUGUGGAUGCCUCGGCACGGGUAUCCGCCGCCGCCACAUUGGGAGGGGACGAAGGCCGUCGCAUGGGAAAAAGGAGGGCAGGCGCACGACCGUGUUUGAGGCUUGGAGCGGAGCAGCAGGCGACCGAGGAGAACGCGAGGAAGAAGAGUAGCAGGCGCGCAGACCAGGGACGCAAGAAAGAGGGACAGCAGCCGCGGAGGCAGCAUGCGCCUGGUUGGUGGAGAGAUCAGAGGAGUACCCAGCCGAAAAGGAUGAUGUUGGGUGUCGACACGGCGUUCGGCAUGCUCAACGUAGCCCGUUGCACCCGAAACAACAGCACCGGCAUAUGGGACGACCACUCGGACUUCACGUGGCAUGAUCCUGACCGUCCGCGGUUUCCCGCGUCUUCGGACUGUAACCCAGUCCUCCACAAAGGGUUUCUAUACCUGCUAGGAGAAGACGGAGGGUUAGCCGUGUAUGACGAGCAUAGGCAUGACGAAGGAUUUCAAAUUCUUGACAAGCCUCAGGGUUUUUGCUUCAAAUGUAAAGAGAGACAUUUCAAAAUAUACAAAGAGAGCUACUUGUUUGAGUC